rnacentral:rRNA from 1 species
UACGAAGGGGGCUAGCGUUGUUCGGAUUUACUGGGCGUAAAGCGCACGUAGGCGGAUCGUUAAGUCGGGGGUGAAAUCCUGGAGCUCAACUCCAGAACUGCCUUCGAUACUGGCGAUCUUGAGUCCGGAAGAGGUGAGUGGAAUUCCUGGUGUAGCGGUGAAAUGCGCAGAUAUCAGGAGGAACACCGGUGGCGAAGGCGGGUCUCUGGGCCGAUGACUGACGCUGGAGGAGCGAAAGCGUGGGGAGCGAACAGG